GGAAGAGGAGGAGGAAGAGAGGAGGAGGACUGAAGUCUGCUGCUGCUGCUGGGGCACACAGGUGGACCUCCCACCGACUCUUCACAGGUUGCAGGUUCCGACUAGCAUUCCCCCCUGCGUGAUUCUCUGACGGAUAGAUCCCCUCCCGAGGGCAGCAUUUAGAGAAUAUCUGCUUUUCCACCUAAGGUUUUUUCAGGUCUUGAAGUUGUUGUGAUGAUGGAGGGGCGGAGGGCAGGAAACGCCCUGGAGAUGCACUGUAAAAAAACCCAACUUAAAACACACAACUGUGGGACUUUUUCACACUGUAACCCAGUAUUCCCUGAGAAAGGGUUUAUGCAGGGAGCAGGGAUCGUUUCCUCAACAACUACACCACUUUACCGUGCCGCUCCCCAAGGAAGUGGAGCUCCUUGGGCUUCAGCUUGAAGAAGGGGGCCCCCUCUCUCUUUCUGCAGGGGGCCCGAGCAGGUUGCUCAAUGGAGCCUCUCAUGUAUCGAUUACCUGAAAUAUCAUUCAGCGUGUAAGAGGGCGGUCGACGUGUUUGUUUGACUUUGGUGGUCACCGAGAUUCCUGCGAAAGGAGCGAGAAGAACUUGAUUUAUCUCGGAGAAUGUGUGACGGAAGCCGGAGGAUUUGUCGCCCGUUUAGCCUAUUUUUCUCCCGACUUAUCAGACAGGAAGUUCAAUUCUUCUCCUCACAAUGCUGCAGGACAAGGAGCAAGCAGUCUUUUUAUAAAGUUAAUGAGGUGAAAGAAAGAUUCAGAUGGUGUUUUUGUGGAUCACGUUGAACAAUUUUUGCACAAAAGCUUAAGAUGCAUGAUUUAGUUUAAAAAAAUACAUCAGUUAAGCUCAUUUUCACACUAGACAACCUAUGCCAACUUAUGAACAUUUUAAAGAUAUCUACAUUUAGGAUGGAAUUGAAAAAAAUCAACAGGAAGCUUCUUUUCAGCGUGUGCAUAAUGUAAUUCCAACAAAUUGAUCAAAUAUAUAACUUUUAUUAGCAUUUUAGACAUAAAAAUGUUUCAUAAGUUGGCAUAAGUUGUCUAGUGUGACAGGGCCUUAACCACCCCUUGUUCACAGAGUUUUAUCUUUUACCAGGACGCAGAGUUGCUUUAAAAAGCAUCAGAAUUCAUUUUUAACUGCCAUUAUUUUCCUUUUAAAUACUUCUUGUUGAGUGUUGUGUCUGUUAGAUAUGUAGUAGCUUUUAUUGUACUUACUGUACUUAUUGUUGAUGAAUGUUUUUUUUUCCCCUGCUGGCUGUAACACAAAUUGCCCUGUGGGGAUAUUAAAUAUACCUUGAGCAUUUUGCAACCAAUUCGUUUAAUUGGCACCAGAUCAGUAAAAGAACUGGGUUUGAAGUUAGCCUUAAAGAGAGACUUAUGUAAAGAUUGGAAGAGAUUCAUCAGUUUGCAAUUUCCAAAAUAAUGUUCCUCCAAGGAAAAUUGGUAAAACUUUGAAAAUUCAAUUUCCAUGAUCUGGGGAAACCUCAGUGCUCAAAGGCCUGCCUCUCUGAUGGUAUGGGGGUGCAAAUUGCCUCUAACAUGGGGUGACAUGCACAGAAAGGGCUGAGGGUGUUAUUAUUAUUAUAGUAAAUUGUAAUGGUGACAUCAGUCAUCAGCUGCACCCUUUGACUUUCGAGGCCUGAUUAACAUGAAAAGCGAGGAUCAGUGGAACGGCCAUAAAUAAAAGUCUCCUUUUACCAAACCCAUGAAAGCCGUGAUCCUGCGCCGAUGCAGUGGGGAGUUAAAGAGUGUGGGUGGGGAAGUGGCCACAAAAGCUUUCUGUUGCAGCCUGGGAGUGGGGUUACCUGCCCUGUCCUUUCCUGUGGGCUCUAAUUUCACACGUCACAUGUGCAUGCAUAACCGUGCAAAGGCUUCAAGCUUCACUCACACGAUCACACAGGGCCGCUGCAGUCAGGUACAAGGGCUGAGGGGGGAGCAGGGGUCCACUGGGGACAGACGAGGUUUGUUUUGCCCAAAUACAGAGCAUGAACUCCAAAAUAAAAGCAUUUGUAUGACUAAAGAGCUGGAUAACAGACUGUUUUUAUUCACUAGAAAUAUUUUUCUUCUAUCUUGAGCUUAACUGCAUUUUUGUAAUGAAUUGUUAAACAUCAGAACGGUGGGAUUUAACAAAAACAAAUGUCCCAAAGAAUGCUUUACGAAAUGUUUUACAGUGUCCUAAUGCCCAACAGCUGGGAACUGACAUCUGGAAUUCAGUUUGAAUGACAUGUUAAUCGAAAACCUUUUCAAGGUAGGGUGGAGCAUGCGAACAAAGUUAUUUGUCUAUAAGACAGAAAAUAAAUCACAUCGGAGUAAAGAAAAGCUUCAAAAGGUAAAUGAUCUGCAAGAAGCCGAAGGGCAGAAACCCCUGUUCAAGUCUCAAACAGGAAGGAUACAAUUUCUGAAAAACGGUGUUAAGUUAAAUGACCUCCAGUAACCUUUUUUUUAAAUCAUCUGUCACUGAGAGCAACAAGACUUUUGUUCAUUUGUCUGUUGUGUUAGCAAAAUAUCUCCUGAACCAGCAGGUGGAUUAUAAUUUGGUAUGUUAUAGAUGCGAGUCCACCCCAGCACAGACAUCUGAGCACCGACUGAUGCGCAAAAUCAGCUUUCAGAAUUUUACAAUUGAUUUCUACAGGCAACUCUACACAUUUGCAAGCAAAAUAUCAUUACAAAUAAGAUAGACAUAUUUUGUUCCAAAUUAUUAUAAAAAUGUCCUUAAUACACUACAAUCCAUCAUGUUUAAGUGCCUUUCAAUGCUUGAAAUCCAUAAAUGAAUGCUAAAAAAUUUAGGACUUAUAUGAAUUUCAAGAAUUUGGUUUUAAAUAAAAAGUACAAAAACCAAAAGGUAGCUUAAGAUUUUUGCACUAUGCUUUAAAACUUAAAAGGUUUUCAGAAAUAGUCAAAAUAUUGAAGCUAAGCAUUUAAACCCAUGAACUCUGCUGCCACUUGCUGGUGAGACGAUGCCAAACCACUCUUUUUCUCCAAUGAUGAUGGAGUGAUUAAAAAAGAGAAAUGCUAAAACUUUCGUCAGUACCAGAGUCACAACGGGACAAAUGAAAAAGCACGCAAUUGUAGUGUUAAAAGGACUAAUUUACUCUUGCACAGGACAUCAACAGAGUACAUUUUUCUCAUAGAAAAAUAAAAGCGCCUGCUUUAGUCAAAUGGAACUGCACCUGUUUUUAUUUUGUUUUUCUAUGCAGGAACAGCCAAAACCAACAUACACAGUCCAGGGAUGGAUCCGACAUCACUCCUUCAGCUGAGAACACAUUCAUCGAGUUAUUUUAGUUUGUCUCGUUUUCUUUUUAGAAAACCUGCUCAUUGUGGUAAAAAUAUGCAACACUGUAGCUGAUGUUGCAGUCAGUCCACGGAUACGGUCAAGAGGUGCGGGAGGACAGGGGAGAGGUCCAAAGGAAGCAGGAACCAUGCACAUCAAUGUAUAAAAAAAAAAAAAAAAAAA